rnacentral:lncRNA from 1 species
UUUUUUUUUUUAGGUAGUGCUCUUUUCACAUAACUUAAGCAUCUUACAUCUGGUGUUAGUUAACUAGGCUACUCUAUAAAGCUGAUAAACGCACCUAUAAUGUAUACCGAAACACUUUACUUUACACCUAGGCGCAAAAAAAGUCACUCCCCGGGAUCUGCAAGUACCAGUUGGACCGUGCACUUCAUAAGAGAAGAGGUACAUAUGUACAUACCUUAGGAGAGGG